rnacentral:piRNA from 1 species
UAGGUCUCUGGCCAUGAAAUAUGGUU